UAUCAUUGCUCCAAAGGUACAGAGUUGAA
rnacentral:piRNA from 2 species